rnacentral:piRNA from 1 species
UUCGUUUUGGCUCUCUUUUUU